UCAUUUCUAGUCCAUUUAGGGUAACUUCCUAACAUUGCCAUGGCGUUUGUAAGCUGUCAUGGCACUGGUGGGAGUGCAGCAGUGAGGAUGGCCAGAGGUCACUCUCGUGACCGCCUUGGUUUUGCUGGGUUUUAGCCGGCUUCUUUACUGCAAUCUGU